rnacentral:rRNA from 1 species
UACGUAGGGGGCAAGCGUCGUCCGGAAUCAUUGGGCGUAAAGAGCGUGUAGGCGGCCCGAUAAGUCCGCUGUGAAAGUCCAGGGCUCAACCCUGGGAUGCCGGUGGAUACUGUCGGGCUCGAGUCCGGAAGAGGAGAGUGGAAUUCCUGGUGUAGCGGUGAAAUGCGCAGAUAUCAGGAAGAACACCAAUGGCGAAGGCAGCUCUCUGGGACGGUACUGACGCUGAGACGCGAAAGCGUGGGGAGCGAACAGG